GACGAACGCUGGCGGCGUGCUUAACACAUGCAAGUCGAACGGAAAGGCCCUUCGGGGUACUCGAGUGGCGAAUGGGUGAGUAACACGUGGGUGAUCUGCCCUGCACUUUGGGAUAAGCCUGGGAAACUGGGUCUAAUACCGAAUAGGACCACGCGCUUCAUGGUGUGUGGUGGAAAGCUUUUGCGGUGUGGGUUGGGCCCGCGGCCUAUCAGCUUGGUGGUGGGGUAAUGGACUACCAAGGCGACGACGGGUAGCCGGGCUGAGAGGGUGACCGGCCACACUGGGACUGAGAUGCGGCCCAGCCUCCUACGGGAGGCGGCAGUGGGGAAGAUUGCACAGUGGGCGGAGGCCUGAUGCAGCGAAGCCGCGUGGGGGAUGACAGCAUUCGGGUUGUAUACCUAUUUCACUAGGGACGAGGUGAAAGUGACAGUACCUAGAGAAGAAGCACCGGCUAACUACGUG
rnacentral:rRNA from 1 species